CUAUCAUUAACUGAAUCCAUAGGUUAAUGAGGCGAACCGGGGGAACUGAAACAUCUAAGUACCCCGAGGAAAAGAAAUCAACCGAGAUUCCCCCAGUAGCGGCGAGCGAACGGGGAGGAGCCCAGAGCCUGAAUCAGUGUGUGUGUUAGUGGAAGCGUCUGGAAAGGCGCGCGAUACAGGGUGACAGCCCCGUACACAAAAAUGCACAUGCUGUGAGCUCGAUGAGUAGGGCGGGACACGUGGUAUCCUGUCUGAAUAUGGGGGGACCAUCCUCCAAGGCUAAAUACUCCUGACUGACCGAUAGUGAACCAGUACCGUGAGGGAAAGGCGAAAAGAACCCCGGCGAGGGGAGUGAAAAAGAACCUGAAACCGUGUACGUACAAGCAGUGGGAGCCUCUUAAUGGGGUGACUGCGUACCUUUUGUAUAAUGGGUCAGCGACUUAUAUUCUGUAGCAAGGUUAACCGAAUAGGGGAGCCGAAGGGAAACCGAGUCUUAACUGGGCGUUAAGUUGCAGGGUAUAGACCCGAAACCCGGUGAUCUAGCCAUGGGCAGGUUGAAGGUUGGGUAACACUAACUGGAGGACCGAACCGACUAAUGUUGAAAAAUUAGCGGAUGACUUGUGGCUGGGGGUGAAAGGCCAAUCAAACCGGGAGAUAGCUGGUUCUCCCCGAAAGCUAUUUAGGUAGCGCCUCGUGAAUUCAUCUCCGGGGGUAGAGCACUGUUUCGGCAAGGGGGUCAUCCCGACUUACCAACCCGAUGCAAACUGCGAAUACCGGAGAAUGUUAUCACGGGAGACACACGGCGGGUGCUAACGUCCGUCGUGAAGAGGGAAACAACCCAGACCGCCAGCUAAGGUCCCAAAGUCAUGGUUAAGUGGGAAACGAUGUGGGAAGGCCCAGACAGCCAGGAUGUUGGCUUAGAAGCAGCCAUCAUUUAAAGAAAGCGUAAUAGCUCACUGGUCGAGUCGGCCUGCGCGGAAGAUGUAACGGGGCUAAACCAUGCACCGAAGCUGCGGCAGCGACACUAUGUGUUGUUGGGUAGGGGAGCGUUCUGUAAGCCUGUGAAGGUGGCCUGUGAGGGUUGCUGGAGGUAUCAGAAGUGCGAAUGCUGACAUAAGUAACGAUAAAGCGGGUGAAAAGCCCGCUCGCCGGAAGACCAAGGGUUCCUGUCCAACGUUAAUCGGGGCAGGGUGAGUCGACCCCUAAGGCGAGGCCGAAAGGCGUAGUCGAUGGGAAACAGGUUAAUAUUCCUGUACUUGGUGUUACUGCGAAGGGGGGACGGAGAAGGCUAUGUUGGCCGGGCGACGGUUGUCCCGGUUUAAGCGUGUAGGCUGGUUUUCCAGGCAAAUCCGGAAAACCAAGGCUGAGGCGUGAUGACGAGGCACUACGGUGCUGAAGUGACAAAUGCCCUGCUUCCAGGAAAAGCCUCUAAGCAUCAGGUAACAUCAAAUCGUACCCCAAACCGACACAGGUGGUCAGGUAGAGAAUACCAAGGCGCUUGAGAGAACUCGGGUGAAGGAACUAGGCAAAAUGGUGCCGUAACUUCGGGAGAAGGCACGCUGAUAUGUAGGUGAAGCGACUUGCUCGUGGAGCUGAAAUCAGUCGAAGAUACCAGCUGGCUGCAACUGUUUAUUAAAAACACAGCACUGUGCAAACACGAAAGUGGACGUAUACGGUGUGACGCCUGCCCGGUGCCGGAAGGUUAAUUGAUGGGGUUAGCGGUAACGCGAAGCUCUUGAUCGAAGCCCCGGUAAACGGCGGCCGUAACUAUAACGGUCCUAAGGUAGCGAAAUUCCUUGUCGGGU
rnacentral:rRNA from 1 species